GGCUGUGUGGAGGAAACUUGGAGAUGCUGCAGGUUCAUGUCCUGGAAUUAGACAUCUCUCUGCAAAUCAAUAUAAAGGACCAAUGUGACUGAAGAUGGAUAUCGCCUGAGCCCUUCUUAAGAUAAAGAACAAAUUUAAAAUGACAGUGGGAGAGUCACAUAGAAGAAUUAAUCACAAAUAUUAAGCCCCAGGCAGAGUGGGUUAUCUGACGUAAUAGAUUGAUUAAUUUAAAAUUGGCACAACUCGCUUAAUAUUAUCGUUCAAGCUGCAGUUAUGUCCUUUGGACAAUAAGCACAUCUAGUUUUACAGCAC